GGUGGCCCAGUGGUAGAGCGCUUGCCUUGCAUGCAUGAGGCCCGGGGUUCCACUCCUCAGCACCA
rnacentral:tRNA from 1 species